AGAGACGCUGAGGGAUGCGUAGGGCAAUCCGAGGGUUGUGAUGGAUGGAACAGCGAUUCCUCCUGGGUCGUCCACUGGAGGUGACACACUGAUGUGUUGCUGCCCCACGGCCAGAUUUCCAUUCCUCUCCCCACAUCUCUCCUCCAACCAGCGACAUGGAAAACUUCCCAAACACAUCGCUCUGCAUUUCCAUGGCAACUGGCACACGACCAGCCCUGCCGUCUCUGCGGCGAACCCAUUCCCAGCUCUGCAGAGAGGAUGCUCAGUGGCAGAGGGGACGACACGGAGAGGUCGAGGAGAUCACCUGCACCACCACGGAUACCUCUGAGGACUUCUGCCCAUGAGCUCCUUCCUUCUGAUGGCUACAGCAGAUUUAAGCAGCGUGUGAGGCUCUGUGAAAUGUCUGCCAAAAGGGUUUUUUUUAUCAUUGCCCAGCACGAGUGAGGAUUGCUGGCUGGAAUUUCAGAGCUGAGCCUGGCGGGAGGUCAGGGCGGAUGGCUAUCUGCCUCUGGGUUUUAUGUUGCUGCCUAUCACCAUAUUCUUUGGGUGCUCGGCUAUGAUGCUGUCUCUUCCUGACCUUACCCUUUCUGGCUUGCAUAUCCUGCAUGCUUGCAUGCUUGCUUGCAUCCUUGGGGUGAAAUCCCUCCGAUGUGGGAGCAGGCAAGGACAGCGGGGCAGCCCACCUGCCAUUGUGCUGCAUCCUAAAAAUAGGGUUGGAUGAAAUCAGCUCUUCUCCUGCCCAAAAAUACGAUCAUGUCCAAAUCGAUCCUAAAGGCAAUGUGUUAGUGCUGUGGGCUCACAGAGCAGCAGAAGCAGAGUUCCUGCUCUCCUUCAUCCCGUGUCCCAGCCACAGUAUUUUUAGUGUGUGGCUUUGCAAGUGCUUGGGCUCAGGACAAGCAUGGUGAGAAGAUGGAGCUGUCAGGAGAACAGUGGCUUUGCUGGGCACUUUUGGGCACAAUUCCUGGUAAUAAAGCAGGAGGGGAUGAUUUUCUCAAUUUCUUUCAGCAUUCACAUUUUCCUUUAAGAUUCUGCCUUAGCAGCGCACUGAUGGGAAGAUGCAGGCACUUCAAGCAAGCCCUCCUUCCAGCCUGAAUGAAAUGAUUCAUUGAGCCCCAAAUAAGCCUUUCUCCACUCAUUCUCACGCUGGUUUUUCAUCACCUCUAAAAACGCAGUACAUUGUUUAAUAAAACAUUUCUUAAGC
rnacentral:lncRNA from 7 species